CGAUGCCUUACACAUGCAAGUCGAACGGCAGCACGGACUUCGGUCUGGUGGCGAGUGGCGAACGGGUGAGUAAUGUAUCGGAACGUACCUUUCAGUGGGGGAUAACGUAGCGAAAGUUACGCUAAUACCGCAUAUUCUGUGAGCAGGAAAGCAGGGGAUCGCAAGACCUUGCGCUGAUUGAGCGGCCGAUAUCAGAUUAGCUAGUUGGUGGGGUAAAGGCCUACCAAGGCUACGAUCUGUAGCGGGUCUGAGAGGAUGAUCCGCCACACUGGAACUGAGACACGGUCCAGACUCCUACGGGAGGCAGCAGUGGGGAAUUUUGGACAAUGGGGGCAACCCUGAUCCAGCCAUGCCGCGUGAGUGAAGAAGGCCUUCGGGUUGUAAAGCUCUUUCGGCCGGGAAGAAAUCGCAUAGGCUAAUACCCUGUGUGGAUGACGGUACCGGAAUAAGAAGCACCGGCUAACUACGUGCCAGCAGCCGCGGUAAUACGUAGGGUGCGAGCGUUAAUCGGAAUUACUGGGC
rnacentral:rRNA from 1 species